rnacentral:lncRNA from 1 species
AUCGGAGAAUGUAAACCUCGUCAGCACCAUGAGGUAAUGUUAGCAUUUUCUUCUUGCUUCCAGAUCUUGACCUUGAUUUCUUUUGCUUACAAUCUAAGGCUGAGUGCAUAGUCAAGUCCAUUUUUUGUGGCUGAUACAUCAACGGACUAUCCUCAUUUAAUGGAAGAACGCAUUUCUGAACGAAUCUCUUUCUUGCUGUCUGAUUAUGGAUCUUUUGAGGAGAAAUAGCAGAAUUCCUUUCUUCUCCCAUCCUUUUAUUUUUAAGAAGUUCUAUGAGUGUAAGAGACUGAUUCUUUUUCCCACUGGGCAGUUCUGGUUUUGUUUCAUCAUAUUCAU